AUGGAUCAAGUGAACACAACCCCGAAACCAGAAGGAGCAUCUAAUCCUACACAAGAAAGUACAUGUCCAACUCAUGAGGUAUCUUCUAAUUCGAAUCCGUCACCUGAACCUGAUAUUGGGCAACAAGAAGAAAUUGAUACAAUUUUAGAACCUGCAUCAAAGAAACUUAGAAGUAAUGUGUGGCAAGAAUUUAAAAAGAUGAAAGUGAAUGGAAAAGAUAAGGCUGAAUGCAUCUGGUGUAAAAAACAACUUAGUGACACUUUAAAGAAUGGAACAAAUCACUUGAAAGGACAUCUCUUGAGUUGUAUUCAAAAAAAGAUCAAGACUAGAAACCAUGACAAAGGACAACCAUUUCUCCUACCGACUAUCUCAGAAGGAAAGCAAGAGUUGGGAAUUGGAACUUAUGAUCCAGAACAUGUGAAGAAGUUGAUUGCUGAAGCUAUUAUUAUGCACGAUUAUCCACUAUCAAUUGUGUAUCACAUUGGUCUUAGAAGAGUCUUUGUUUCUCUCCAACCAUUGUUUAAAGUUCCUACUCGAAACACAAUCAAGAAGGAGGUAUUGAAAGUUUAUGAUUUUGAGAAAAAAUGUGCUAUGAAGAUGUUAGAUAACCAUGAAGGGAGAGUGGCAAUUACCACAGAUAUGUGGACUUCAAGCAACCAAAAAAAAGGGUAUAUGGCGGUUACGGCUCACUAUAUUGAUGGCUCGUGGACUUUACAGAGUCGAAUCUUGAGG